GGGACGACACACAAGGUCAGCCUGGUUCUGAAGGACAACCCAGAGGAAGCCCCCAGCAUGAUGCUGCCACCUCCAUGCUCUCUGUUUGGUGCUGAACUGGUUUGACUGGGUCAGCUAAUCGCUGCAGAAACUGUAAAUGAUUCACCAGCAUCUCAAACUGUCGCCAUGGUUACAUGCUGACACUCAGACACAGGUUUACUUUUAGCAUGAACCCAUUUGCACUGAUCAUUAGCUUUGUAACCAUAGCAACAGCAGAGUCAGGUCUGCUGCAGGCUGAGCUGACUAGCUGACUCACCACCACCAACAUGAAGGAGACUCCGGCUGCUGAUGUCACUGUUGUCAUGGAGAUGGACAGGCACAACAGCGACUGGCUGAGACCUAGUUUACUCUGCUGAGGCUUCAGUCAUAUGCUCUGCUUUGUUAAACAUUAGCUUCGUUAGCUACUAGCUUCAUUAGCUUUUAGCUUCAUUAGCUACUAGCUUCAUUAGCUUCUAGCUUUGUUAGCUUUUAGAUUCACUAGCAACUAGCUUCUUUGGCUUCCUUAACUACUAACUUCAUUAGAAACUAGCUUCAUUAGCUUCCUUAGCUUCUAGCUUCAUAAGCAACUAGCUUCAUUAGCUUGUAGCUUUGCUAGCUACUAGCUUUAUUAGAAACUAGCUUCUUUAGCUUCAUUAGCUACUAGCUUCAUUAGAUUCAUUAGCAACUAGCUUCCUUAGCUUCAUUAGCUUCUAGCUUCAUAAGCUACUAGCUUCAUUAGCUUCUAGCUUUGUUAGCUACUAGCUUUUUUAGAAACUAGCUUCUUUAGCUUCCUUAGCUUCAUUAGCUACUAGCUUCCUACAGAGAAGAGCUAAAACCUGAAAACAAUACAAUACAUAUUAAAUUGUCGUCUUUCUUCCAGUCAGGAAAAGUUUUCUCUGUGUUUUUUUUUUUGUUUUUCUUGCUGACUAAAUGUUCAUGAAUUAACAUUUGGGUUUUCUAAAUGCAGUAAAUGAUGUUAGAUCAGGAUUAGGAUUUCUCUCUGGAAUGUUCUCCUGUCUUUCCCCUUCUGAAGAAAUCAAUAUCUUCCUAUAA